AGAACGAACGCUGGCGGCAGGCUUAACACAUGCAAGUCGAACGCGUGUAGCAAUACACGAGUGGCGCACGGGUGAGUAACGCGUGGAUAUCUGCCUUUUGGUUCGGAAUAACCCCGGGAAACUGGGGCUAAUACCGGAUGGUUCCUACGGGAUAAAGAUUUAUCGCCAAAAGAUGAGUCCGCGUCCGAUUAGCUAGUUGGUGGGGUAAUGGCCUACCAAGGCGACGAUCGGUAGCUGGUCUGAGAGGACGAUCAGCCACACUGGGACUGAGACACGGCCCAGACUCCUACGGGAGGCAGCAGUGGGGGAAUAUUGGACAAUGGGGGCAACCCUGAUCCAGCCAUGCCGCGUGAGUGAUGAAGGCCUUCGGGUUGUAAAGCUCUUUUGGCGGGGACGAUGAUGACGGUACCCGCAGAAUAAGCCCCGGCUAACUUCGUGCCAGCAGCCGC
rnacentral:rRNA from 1 species